GGAUAUAGCUCAGUUGGUAGAGUGCUUGCUUUGCAUGCACAAAGCCUUGGGUUCAAUUCCCAGCAAUUAA
rnacentral:tRNA from 1 species